rnacentral:rRNA from 1 species
GCGGGGUGUUUCGCACCGAACCGUUCCGUAGGUGAACCUGCGGAAGGAUCAUUACAGAGUUCACGCCCGAAAGGGUAGACCUCCCACCCUUGUGUACCUAAUACCGUGUUGCUUUGGCGAGCCGGCCCUCUGGCCCUCAGGCCCUCGAGCCUGAGCGCGCUCGCCAAGGGAUACCAAAACUCUUUUUGUUCAUGUCGUCUGAGCACUAUAUAAUAGUUAAAACUUUCAACAACGGAUCUCUUGGUUCUGGCAUCGAUGAAGAACGCAGCGAAAUGCGAUAAGUAAUGUGAAUUGCAGAAUUCAGUGAAUCAUCGAAUCUUUGAACGCACAUUGCGCCCCUUGGUAUUCCGGGGGGCAUGCCUGUUCGAGCGUCAUUUCAACCCUCAAGCUCAGCUUGGUAUUGAGCCCGUGCCAGCGAUGGCAGGCUCUAAAAUCAGUGGCGGCGCCGCUGGGUCCUGAACGUAGUAAUCUCUCUCGUUACAGGUGCUCGGCGUGCUUCUGCCAAAACCUCAAAUUUUUCUAUGGUUGACCUCGGAUCAGGUAGGGAUACCCGCUGAACUUAAGCAUAUCAAUAAGCGGAGGA